CGCGCCACGCAGUAAUGCGUGGCGUGACCGGAUAGAAGUCAGCAGAGGCCGUAGGAGCUGGCGGCCCUCAAGUGAAGAAGGGCGAAGGCAAAGGGC
rfam:Freshwater sediment metagenome lwMethylamine_BCHP25523_g1, whole genome shotgun sequence.